UGCUCCCAGCCGUGGGGCCGCCUCCGUCUGCUCCUGCUCCUUCUGUGGCGCCCUCGUCCCGUCGGCUUUCGCCGCCGCCGCAGCUGCACUAGGGAUACGGAUGGCUAGUGGGGCGCAGGGGCCAUCCGCGUUGAGAGAGCGGCGGUCCCGGCCGCUGCUGAGGCGGAGACUCCCCGCCGCCGCCUCCACCCCCCGUCCCCCAGCCUCGCGGCGCUGAGGGCGGGAGCGCGCGAGCUCUUCCCUCCUCCUCCUCUUUCUUCCUCCUCCUCCUCGUUCUCCGGGUCCCCGCCCAGCACCCCUCGCACCAGGCGGCGGCGGCGGCAAGGAGCGAGACCCGCCGCCGGGGCACAACAUGGCGGAGCCCUCGGCCCCGGAGAGCAAGCACAAGUCGGCCCUCAACUCGUCCCCGUGGAGCGGCCUGAUGGCCCUGGGGAACAGUCGGCACGGCCACCACGGGCCCGGGGCCCAGUGCGCGCACAAGGCGGCGAGCGGCGCGGCGCCGCCGAAGCCAGCCCCCGCGGGCUUGUCCGGGGGGCUGUCGCAGCCGGCCGGCUGGCAGUCGCUGCUCUCCUUCACCAUCCUCUUCCUGGCCUGGCUCGCCGGCUUCAGCUCGCGCCUCUUCGCCGUCAUCCGCUUCGAAAGCAUCAUCCACGAGUUCGACCCGUGGUUUAACUAUAGAUCAACACAUCAUCUUGCUUCUCAUGGGUUCUAUGAAUUUUUAAAUUGGUUUGAUGAAAGAGCAUGGUAUCCACUAGGAAGAAUAGUAGGUGGUACUGUUUACCCAGGAUUGAUGAUAACAGCGGGCCUUAUUCAUUGGAUUUUAAAUACAUUGAACAUAACAGUUCAUAUAAGAGAUGUAUGUGUGUUCCUUGCACCAACUUUUAGCGGCCUUACAUCUAUAUCUACUUUCCUGCUUACCAGAGAACUUUGGAACCAAGGAGCAGGACUUUUAGCUGCUUGUUUUAUUGCUAUUGUACCAGGUUACAUAUCUCGGUCAGUAGCUGGAUCCUUUGAUAAUGAAGGCAUUGCUAUUUUUGCACUUCAGUUCACGUACUACUUGUGGGUAAAAUCUGUAAAAACUGGGUCAGUUUUUUGGACAGUGUGCUGCUGCCUAUCAUAUUUCUAUAUGGUCUCUGCUUGGGGUGGUUAUGUGUUUAUCAUCAACCUGAUCCCACUGCAUGUAUUUGUGUUGUUACUGAUGCAGAGAUACAGCAGAAGAGUCUACAUAGCAUAUAGCACUUUCUACAUUGUGGGUUUAAUAUUAUCCAUGCAGAUACCCUUUGUGGGAUUCCAACCAAUCAGAACAAGUGAACACAUGGCAGCUGCAGGUGUCUUUGCAUUGCUGCAAGCUUAUGCUUUCUUGCAGUAUUUGAGAGACCGACUAACAAAACAAGAGUUCCAGACCCUUUUCUUCUUGGGUGUGUCAGUAGCUGCUGGUGCUGUGUUUCUCAGUGUCAUCUAUUUGACUUACACAGGUUACAUUGCACCAUGGAGUGGCAGGUUUUACUCAUUGUGGGACACUGGGUAUGCAAAAAUACACAUUCCGAUUAUUGCAUCAGUGUCUGAACAUCAGCCUACGACUUGGGUGUCUUUCUUCUUUGAUCUCCAUAUUCUUGUAUGUACCUUCCCAGCAGGCCUGUGGUUCUGCAUCAAAAAUAUCAAUGAUGAAAGAGUAUUUGUUGCUCUGUAUGCGAUUAGUGCUGUCUACUUUGCCGGAGUGAUGGUGCGGCUCAUGCUGACGUUGACUCCAGUCGUCUGUAUGCUGUCUGCAAUUGCCUUCUCCAAUGUUUUUGAGCACUACUUGGGGGAUGACAUGAAAAGGGAGAACCCACCUGUGGAGGACAGCAGUGAUGAGGAUGACAAAAGGAAUCCAGGAAACUUGUAUGAUAAGGCGGGUAAAGUGAGGAAACAUGUAACUGAACAGGAGAAGACUGAAGAAGGCUUAGGUCCGAAUAUAAAAAGCAUUGUCACUAUGUUGAUGCUGAUGCUGUUGAUGAUGUUUGCAGUCCACUGUACCUGGGUCACAAGCAAUGCCUACUCCAGUCCAAGUGUGGUCCUAGCCUCGUAUAAUCAUGACGGCACCAGGAAUAUCUUAGAUGAUUUUAGAGAAGCUUACUUUUGGCUAAGGCAAAAUACGGAUGAACAUGCCCGAGUGAUGUCUUGGUGGGACUAUGGCUAUCAGAUAGCUGGAAUGGCUAACAGAACUACUUUGGUGGAUAAUAACACGUGGAAUAACAGCCACAUUGCACUGGUAGGAAAAGCUAUGUCUUCAAAUGAAACAGCAGCCUAUAAAAUUAUGAGGACUCUGGAUGUAGAUUAUGUUUUGGUUAUUUUUGGAGGCGUUAUUGGUUAUUCUGGUGAUGAUAUCAACAAAUUUCUUUGGAUGGUUAGGAUAGCUGAAGGAGAACAUCCAAAAGACAUUCGGGAAAGUGACUAUUUCACCCCACAGGGAGAGUUCCGUGUAGACAAAGCAGGAUCCCCCACUUUGUUGAAUUGCCUUAUGUACAAAAUGUCAUACUACAGAUUCGGAGAAAUGCAGCUGGAUUUUCGUACACCCCCAGGUUUUGACCGAACGCGUAAUGCUGAGAUUGGAAACAAGGACAUUAAAUUCAGGCAUUUGGAGGAAGCCUUUACAUCAGAACACUGGCUUGUUAGGAUAUAUAAAGUGAAAGCACCUGAUAACAGGGAGACACUAGACCACAAACCUCGAGUCACCAACAUUAUCCCAAAACAGAAGUAUUUGUCAAAGAAGGUGGGUGCCAAGUGAAGUCAUUUCUGUAACAGGGGAAAUCAAGACGACCAAAAGGAAGCGUGGCUACAUUAAAAAUAAGCUAGUUUUUAAGAAAGGCAAGAAGAUAUCUAAGAAGACUGUUUAAACACACUGUUCUGGUUCCUGACUUGAAGCAGUUGUCCUUGUGAGAACCGGUCUUUGCCUUUAGCUCAUGUCAUGUUUCACAGCAACGGAGGGUACCGAAACAUCACUGGUCCAGGUUAAUGUACAAAAUUUUCUGACAAUGCCUGAUUAAACAAAUAAUAAAAUUGGCUUAUUGAGAACAGCUGUUUCCGAUUUGUGAUGUGAAGCAAGACAGAGCACUGCUGUAAAUGUCUAGCAGCAGAUUUUUGUUAUUGGUACAUAUUAUCCUUCAGAUCUGAGAAUUUGGACUAAUUGCACCAAAGAACCCUCUAAUUUGGUCCCUGGCACGUGCAUACUUGUCAAUGUUUUUAUUCUUUUACAAGACCUGCAUUUCAUUUGAAUACCCAAAUAGCAAUAUGUAAAAUAUAAACGGAAGAAUGUGAAGAGAGCUUCUUGAACCAGUACACUAGUGCAGGCCUGAGAAAGAGGUAUUAGAAACGUAAUUAUACUUCCUUGAAAUAUAUUUAUUUUCAUGUUUCUCCAGUGCAAAGAAUGUUUCAUCAAAUGUGCGUUUUCUCUUGCUUACUGUUGACUCUGUCUGAGAAGAAGCUGCUGUUUCAGAGAUGGACCUCUUGAGUAGCUAAUUGAUUGAAACCGUAUUUUUACACUGACACGUGAUCACUGCUGUCGGCAGUUGUUUUCACCAGAAGUCUGCCUUGUUGUGCCUACAAUCCUGAGUUGAGGUAGGUGGAGUAAUGGAUAAAUGUAGAGCUUAGCUAUGGUCUGCAGUUGAGACUGAGGUAACAACCAGUAAUGAGAUGUCAUGCUUUCUAAUCUUUCUUUUAAAUUAAACCCUUUUUAUGGUGAAGUGUAAAAUAGAGAAGAACACAAAAAUGUCUGGCUUAGUGAAUUACCACAAAGCAAGCAACCUGGUAACCACAGCCCAGGUCAAGGAAGAGAACAGUGCCAGCACCCCAGAAGUUUCUUCAUGCCCCUACCCAAUCACGGUCCUGUCCCACUUCCCCUUCCAAAAGAUGGGUGUCCAUUCUGCCUGCACCAUUUGUUAGAUCAGCUGACCACAGGUGGGUGAAUUUACAUCUGGGUUAUCAGUUCUGUUCUGUGUGUCUGUCGCUGUACCAGUACCAGGCUGUUUUGACUACCUUGGCUGUUAAAGUAGGUGCUUCACCUUUUUUUUUUUAAAACAAGGCAAAAUAUACCCACUUACCCCCAAGAAAAAGGAGACAAAGGUGAGCUUUCUCCAUGUUUUAUUCAUGAUUUGGAGUAAGACUGGAAAAUCUGAGACCACCACAGUGAUGUGAUAACUUUUUAGUCUUACUGAGAUUUUUUCCCCCUCAAUUUUUUUCCCUCAAAAUAGCCUCUGCUCUUCCUCAGAAAUGAAUUGGUUCCAGUUUCACCCCAUUUACUCAGAUGUUUUAAGACUAUGGACCUCAACAGGCCUGCAUUAUGACUGACUUGGCAGUGACUUACCACAAAACAAACCGCUCACUGGAUAUGGGUUAAAAUCUUAUUAACUUGACAGAAAAUAGCAAGGAAGUGCUUGGUGGAUUUUAACACUUUUGAUGUAAAUGAUUGCUGUUCACACCAAAUUAACAGUAAGUACCUAACCCAUAAAAUAUGACCCCACUCAGAGCCACCAACUCCAUCAGAACUUUUGACUCCCUGAAAAUAAAAGACACACAGGUAAGUAUUUAAUCGAAAUAUAUUUGUCUAAUAUCUACAAAGUGUGAACGUUGGUCUUAAGCAGACAAAAGGCACAAAAUUAGUAGUAUUACAGAGAAGCAUUCAUGCUACUGGAUUUUAUAAAUAUCAUCAUUGGCAUGGUACAGUAAAAAAUAAAUUAAGCACUGAGCAAAAAAUCAAAUACUUUAUUUCUUUGACCUCAUUUUUAAAGGCUGAGGACAGAAAUUGAACUGAAACCAUGGAACACUUACUUAUGCAGGCUUUAUGUAUAUCUUAUAUCUUAAUCACAGUGGUUUUCUUGCAGAGUUUGGGUCAAACUAGAGAGGUGCAUUAAAAAAAAAAAAAAAUUUGCAGGAAAUU